GUGAACGCUGGCGGUAGGCCUAACACAUGCAAGUCGAACGGCAGCACAGUAAGAGCUUGCUCUUACAGGUGGCGAGUGGCGGACGGGUGAGGAAUACAUCGGAAUCUACUUUUUCGUGGGGGAUAACGUAGGGAAACUUACGCUAAUACCGCAUACGACCUACGGGUGAAAGCAGGGGAUCUUCGGACCUUGCGCGAUUGAAUGAGCCGAUGUCGGAUUAGCUAGUUGGCGGGGUAAAGGCCCACCAAGGCGACGAUCCGUAGCUGGUCUGAGAGGAUGAUCAGCCACACUGGAACUGAGACACGGUCCAGACUCCUACGGGAGGCAGCAGUGGGGAAUAUUGGACAAUGGGCGCAAGCCUGAUCCAGCCAUACCGCGUGGGUGAAGAAGGCCUUCGGGUUGUAAAGCCCUUUUGUUGGGAAAGAAAAGCAGCAGGUUAAUACCCCGCUGUUCUGACGGUACCCAAAGAAUAAGCGCCGGCUAACUUCGUG
rnacentral:rRNA from 1 species